CAAACGGCCCUCUUUAGGGCCACAAAUCUAAUAAGUGAAACGAGA
rfam:Meloidogyne hapla strain VW9 Mh10g200708_Contig1968, whole genome shotgun sequence.